rnacentral:rRNA from 1 species
UACGUAGGGUGCGAGCGUUAAUCGGAAUUACUGGGCGUAAAGCGUGCGCAGGCGGUUUUGUAAGCCAGAUGUGAAAUCCCCGGGCUUAACCUGGGAAUGGCAUUUGGGACUGCAAGGCUUGAGUGCGGCAGAGGAGACUGGAAUUCCUGGUGUAGCAGUGAAAUGCGUAGAUAUCAGGAGGAACACCGAUGGCGAAGGCAGGUCUCUGGGCUGUAACUGACGCUGAGGAGCGAAAGCAUGGGGAGCGAACAGG